GUGAGUACUGUGGCUAAAUAACUCAGGGAGAAGGGAAAUUACCCUGAAUUUUGAGCAGAGGAGUGACAUGAUCUGAUGAUCUUAACAAAUCAUUCUGGUGGACAGGAGUGGAAGCAGGGAGACCAGUUAGGACUCUGGCUUUGUCUUGCCUGAGAUGGGGGUGGCUGGGAGGAGGGUGGGGGUGUGGGGGGUGAGAGAUGGGGGAUUCUGAUUUGGCUGGCUUGCGUGCCAUUGCAGGCCACCAGAGGGCACUACACAUACGUCCUUGGUGAGGCUAAGCUGUGACAGCCAGUCCUUCCCUCACCCUCCCCAAAUGACAGGUUGUGAUACCUCCUUAUGCAAUAACCACCCUACCUGCUUUGCUACUAGAAUUUAGAUUCUGGUCCAGACUAUGACAUGCCCAUACUCAAAAGAUGAACCGUGGUAGUACAAGCACCAUCUGAGUCUCCACGAUUGCAGUCAUCUAAUGUCACAGUCUUCCUUUGUUUCCAGGACCCUCCUAUCUCUCCAUCAACCUCCCCUGUACACUUACCUGCAUCAACCAGUGCAUGAAUGUAGCUGGGAAAACAGGUUUGCUGAAUGUGACUGGGAGUUCCUUUCUUUGCCAUUAUUUCUUAUGGGAACACUGCCUUUUAAAACCUAUAGUGCUGAAUGAAAAGGGUGUUUUUAGACCAGGCGCAGUGGCUCAUGCCUGCAAUCCCAGCACUUUGGGAGGCUGAGGCUGGUGGAUCAUUUGAGCCCAGGAAUUCGAGACAAGUCUAAGAAACAUAGCAAGAGGCUGUCUCUACAAAAAUUAGCCAGGCGUGGUGGUGUGCAUCUGUAGUCCUAGCUACUCAGGAAGCUGAAAUGGGAGGAUCACUUGAGCCCAGGAGGUUGGGGUUGCAGUGAGCCAAGAUUGUACCACUGCACUCCGGCCUAAGUAACAGAGCGAGACCCUGUCUCUACAAAAGUACAAAAAUUAUCCAGGCAUGAUGGCAGGUGCCUGUAAUCCCAAAUACUCUGGAGGCUGAGGUGGGAGAAUUGCUUGAACCUGGGAGGUGGAGGUUGCAGUGAGCCAAGAUCACACCCUUGCACUCCAGCCUGGGCGACAGGGUGAGACUCUAUCUCAAAAAAAAAGAAAAAAAAGAUACCCACAUGUGGUUAGUGUGUGCUGUAUUGGACAGGGCAGGUUUACAGUGUGUGGAAGAAUGUCUUAUCAUCUCCCUAAUAUUCAUGCUUCUCUUUCUUUCAUCAUAGAACUCCUCCUCCAAGUUUAGCAAUGCACAUGAAUAUCCAGCUUGAGACACCAUUUACCAACCUCUCUCAGUUAGGAGUGGCCAUAUGUGUUUGUUUUCUAUUGCAGUGUGACAAAUGACCACAGACUUAGCAGCUUAAAACAACACCCACUUAUUAUCUCAGAGUUCUGUAGGUCAGAAGUCUGGGCUUGGCUGGGUUCUCUGCUCAGGGUCCCAAAAGGCUGAUACCAAGGUGUCCAUGGGCUGGGCUCUGGAAAAGAAUCUACUUCUAGACUCAUUCAGGUUGGCAGAAUCCAGUUCCUUGUGGCUGUAGAUCUGAGAUCCUGAUUCCUACCUGGCUGUGAGCAGCGGGGGCUGCUCUGUGUUCCCAGAGGCUGCCGGGAUACUUCCUGUGGUCCCUACACCUUUUCUUUUCUUUCUUUUUUUUUUCUUUUUUUGAGACAGAGUCUUGCUCUGCCACCCAGGCUGGAGUGCAGUGAUGCUAUCUUGGCUCACUGCAACCUCUGCCUCCUGGG
rnacentral:lncRNA from 10 species